CUGGUACGGGGGUGUUAUGGAUGAAUCUGGGUUGGGUUUCUGCAUAAACAUGUAAACCCCAACCAUAGUAGGCUUGGAGCUGUGAGGGAAUUCGGAGUGGCCACAUGUUCUGCAAAUUCCUGUUUUCUUCCGGUGAAUUGGACAUCUUUUCUUUUAUUUUUAUGAUUUGGGUUUUAAGUUGUAAUAAGGCCGCUUAAUUAUUUUUUAUGGUUUUGAUAUGUUUUAUUAAGAUAGGUAUUACUUAUAUUAACUGUUGGAAUUGGAUAGCUUUAGGGCGCGUUUUCAAAAA